rnacentral:rRNA from 1 species
UAUCCAACUUGCCGUCUACUCUUGGACAGCCUUCUGAAAGGAAGAUUAAUACAAGAUGGCAUCAUGAGUCCGCAUGUUCACAUGAUUAAAGGUAUUCCGGUAGACGAUGGGGAUGCGUUCCAUUAGAUAGUAGGCGGGGUAACGGCCCACCUAGUCUUCGAUGGAUAGGGGUUCUGAGAGGAAGGUCCCCCACAUUGGAACUGAGACACGGUCCAAACUCCUACGGGAGGCAGCAGUGUGGAAUAUUGGUCAAUGGGCGAGAGCCUGAACCAGCCAAGUAGCGUGAAGGAUGACUGCCCUAUGGGUUGUAAACUUCUUUUAUAAAGGAAUAAAGUCGGGUAUGCAUACCCGUUUGCAUGUACUUUAUGAAUAAGGAUCGGCUAACUCCGUGCCAGCAGCCGCGGUAAUACGGAGGAUCCGAGCGUUAUCCGGAUUUAUUGGGUUUAAAGGGAGCGUAGAUGGAUGUUUAAGUCAGUUGUGAAAGUUUGCGGCUCAACCGUAAAAUUGCAGUUGAUACUGGAUAUCUUGAGUGCAGUUGAGGCAGGCGGAAUUCGUGGUGUAGCGGUGAAAUGCUUAGAUAUCACGAAGAACUCCGAUUGCGAAGGCAGCCUGCUAAGCUGCAACUGACAUUGAGGCUCGAAAGUGUGGGUAUCAAACAGGAUUAGAUACCCUGGUAGUCCACACGGUAAACGAUGAAUACUCGCUGUUUGCGAUAUACAGCAAGCGGCCAAGCGAAAGCGUUAAGUAUUCCACCUGGGGAGUACGCCGGCAACGGUGAAACUCAAAGGAAUUGACGGGGGCCCGCACAAGCGGAGGAACAUGUGGUUUAAUUCGAUGAUACGCGAGGAACCUUACCCGGGCUUAAAUUGCAGAUGAAUUACGGUGAAAGCCGUAAGCCGCAAGGCAUCUGUGAAGGUGCUGCAUGGUUGUCGUCAGCUCGUGCCGUGAGGUGUCGGCUUAAGUGCCAUAACGAGCGCAACCCUUGUUGUCAGUUACUAACAGGUUCCGCUGAGGACUCUGACAAGACUGCCAUCGUAAGAUGUGAGGAAGGUGGGGAUGACGUCAAAUCAGCACGGCCCUUACGUCCGGGGCUACACACGUGUUACAAUGGGGGGUACAGAGGGCCGCUACCACGCGAGUGGAUGCCAAUCCCAAAAACCUCUCUCAGUUCGGACUGGAGUCUGCAACCCGACUCCACGAAGCUGGAUUCGCUAGUAAUCGCGCAUCAGCCACGGCGCGGUGAAUACGUUCCCGGGCCUUGCACUCACCGCCCGUA